rnacentral:lncRNA from 13 species
AUGUUAGGGUUAGGGUUGGGGCUAGGGUUACGGAUGAACCAGGAUGUGGACAUGGAGCUAGGGUUAGGGUUAGGGUUGGGGCUAGGGUUACGGAUGAACCAGGAUGUGGACAUGGAGCUAGGGUUAGGGUUAGGGUUGGGGCUAGGGUUACGGAUGAACCAGGAUGUGGACAUGGAGCUAGGGUUAGCGUUAGGGUUGGGGCUAGGGUUACGGAUGAACCAGGAUGUGAACAUGGAGCUAGGGUUAGGGUUAGGGUUGGGCCUAGGGUUACGGAUGAACCAGGAUGUGGACAUGGAGCUAGGGUUAGAGUUAGGGGCCGUCAUGGAAUCAGCCAGGAUUCAGUUUUCAAUCUGGCCUGUCAGAGAGCUCCAUUAAGUUGGAACUAAAGAUGGACUAUCACAACGUCAAUGCUCCCCUUGCUCUUCUAAAACCACUGUCAUUGCACAUGAAAAUAUUUAAUUGGGGCGUUAGGGGUAAUGGAGGGCAUACAGUAUAACCGCCCCUUAUCUCCAAUUAAACCUUGAGCCAGGUGUUCAGUGGUGAUUUGAAUAGACUCAUCUGGUCUCUGGGACCAAUGAAGGAAACCCGGUCGUCCAUGAUGUAAGAUGCAGGUCGUUAGGUCUUUUAUGUGCCCAUUGGGGUGGGUGAAACUGAUUGGGGUGACCUGUGACCUGUGGCCAGGGAAUUCCUCUGUGAUGAAGGUACACAUUUCACUGAACAAACAGUGCCUUUGUCUUCUACCAGGUAUGAAGUACAAACACAUUGAGUUACCUUCACACCACAGGUAUAACUAUCUAUGCGGAGAAUGAUGCUGUAUAUUAUCAACUUUGCAAUUAGAGCAGGAUGAAAGUUCUCCAAACAGGCUGUUUAAACAGAAUACUAUUGGAAUAAUAGAAUACUAAUGCCACUGUGGGCAAAUUACUUAACCAGUGAACUUGGACCUAUUCAUUAAAAAUGUAUAAAUUAACUUCAAGGUCAAACAUUCAUAAACUACUGUAUGUCUCAGUGUUUCUGAAAUGCCAGUGAUCCCCAUUAUAACACCACCUCAUUCAACCCUCUGUGUUUCCAUACAGGGUUACUGUAACUCUCUUUUCUUCUCUGUCUUUCACCACCUUGAACAAUAACCUAGAAAUGAUUGGAGCAGCCAGGUUGUUCCAGUAGCCUCAGUAAUUCUGGGCCACCCCCUGAACUACUGAGUAUUUCUAACCAAUAAUGGGUCACAACUAUUCACAGGUGCCACCAUCCCGUUAUCGACAUAGUUCUCAGGUGUGUUCAUCCUGACUUUUUUUGAUUGAUUUUACAGUUUUGCUCCUCCUUUCCUUUUGGAAUACCCGCAUGCAUUGAUGUGUAUUUCCAAUUAGGAAUAAGAACUGUAUCUUAAAGAUUAGAAGUUAUAGAAGAUAUAGACACUAUACUGAUUUCUACACCAUGGAUUUCCCUGUUGUGUGAAAAAAUCAUGUAUUGCGGUCAUUACAAUGGGGAAAAAUCACCUACGCAUAUUUCAGGUAUGUAUGUAUCUCUCCAAAUUGCCUCAAUAUUCUCCGUAGGGGGUUAGCAAAUAGAGAAAAAGGACAACUCUCGCAGCAGGCCUGACUGUCUCAAGGUUGAACAUCUACUAUAUAUAACAACAUCUUUGUUGUUCAUCCUUAUGGUAACAACUGGAUUUAGUCAUAAUGUGAACAUGAUGUGUGUUGAUACUGUAACAUAAUGCUCAUAUUAAACAUUCAACAGCAAUCUGAUCAUCUCUAAUGAUUCUAACGUCUAUGGCCUCGCUCAAGUAAAGGGGCCAUUUUACCACAUAAAACACACAAAAUUGUAAUGAAUGCCCUCCUUUUCAUUGUCAAAAUGCUACAUAUAUACUGAACAAAAAUAUUAACGCAACAUGUAAUGUGUUUGUGUUUCAUGAGCUGGAAUAAAAGAUCCCAGAAAUGUUCCAAUGUCCAAAAAGCUUAUUUAUUUUUGUGCACAAAUUUGUUUACAUCCCUGUUAUUAAGCAUUUCUCCUUUGCUAAGAUAAUCCCUCCACUUGACAGGUGUGGCAUAUCAAGAAGCUGAUUAAACAGCAUGGUCAUUACACAGGUGCACCUUGUGCUGAGGACAAUAAAAGGCCACUAAAAUGUGCAGUUUUGUCACACAACACAAUGCUACAGAUGUCUCAAGUUUUGAAGGAAUGUGCAAUAUGCAUGCUGACUUCAGGAAUUUCUAACAAAGCUUGUUGCUAGAGAAUUUAAUGUUAAUUUCUUUACCACAAGUCACCUCCAACGUCGUUUGAGAGAAUUUGGCAGUGUGUCCAACCGGCCUCACAACCACAGUCCACGCGUAACCACGCCAGCCCAGGACCUCCACAUUCGGCUUCUUCAGGUGCGGGAUCGUCUAAGACCAGCCACCCUGACUGCUGAUGACACAGAGGAGUAUUUCUGUCUGUAAUAAAGCCCUUUUGUGGAGAAAAAAUCAUUCUGAUUGGCUGGACCUGGCUCCCCAGUGGGUGGGCCUGUUUCCCAUGGUUCACCCAUGGCUGUGCCCCUGCCCAGUUAUGUGAAAUCCAUAGAUUAGGGCCUAAUGUAUUUAUUUACAUUUACUGAUUUCUUUAAAUGGUUGAAAUUGUUGCAUGUUGCAUUUAUAUUUUUGUUCAGUAUAUUUCAGAGUUAAGGAAAAUUGGGUGAAAUCCCCAAGAGCAUAGAAAGUGUUUGGAAGUACUGCCGUAGAGGUCAGAGAGUGUUAAGCUUCCUUAAUGUUCGUGUAGAAUCAUCCUCCCUGGGGUGAUCAGCAGCAGGCAGGCAACCUAAAAUUGUUUGACCAACUCCAGGCAGACUGGCCUACUUACAUGUUUUACCCCAGACACUCAUUGACUUUGGUUGACAAGGACUGUAUAAUAGUCACUAGGAUGUCCUAUAUACAGAGAAGUACUGACGUGACCCACAACAUGCCUUUAAUCUACAUGCACCCACUUUCAGCUAUCUGUGAAUAGGAACCACAAAUAACAUGGAUAAAUCUUGUAGAAUAGAGCCACUACUCGCAGUACAAAAUAACAUCUUACAUGUGAUUAUGAGGUACUAACAGAG